rnacentral:rRNA from 1 species
UACGUAGGGGGCAAGCGUUGUCCGGAAUCAUUGGGCGUAAAGCGCGCGUAGGCGGUCCGAUAAGUCUGCUGUGAAAGUCGGGGGCUCAACCCUCGGAUGCCGGUGGAUACUGUCGGGCUUGAGUGCGGAAGAGGCGAGUGGAAUUCCUGGUGUAGCGGUGAAAUGCGCAGAUAUCAGGAGGAACACCAAUUGCGAAGGCAGCUCGCUGGGACGUUACUGACGCUGAUGCGCGAAGGCGUGGGGAGCAAACAGG